rnacentral:tRNA from 1 species
GGUCGCGUGGCCUAAUGGCAAGGCGUCAGUUUUCGGCACUGAAGAUUGCGAGUUCGAUCCUCGUCGCGAUCA